rnacentral:rRNA from 1 species
AAUGGGCGCAAGCCUGAUCCAGCAAUGCCGCGUGAGUGAUGAAGGCCUUCGGGUUGUAAAGCUCUUUCGCCUGCGAGGAUGAUGACGGUAGCAGGAGAAGAAGCCCCGGCUAACUUCGUGCCAGCAGCCGCGGUAAUACGAAGGGGGCGAGCGUUGUUCGGAUUUACUGGGCGUAAAGGGCGCGUAGGCGGCGAUCUAAGUCAGGCGUGAAAGCCCCGGGCUCAACCUGGGAGGUGCGCUUGGGACUAGAUUGCUGGAGUUCGGGAGAGGAGCGUGGAAUUCCCAGUGUAGAGGUGAAAUUCGUAGAUAUUGGGAAGAACACCGGUGGCGAAGGCGGCGCUCUGGACCGAUACUGACGCUGAGGCGCGAAAGCGUGGGGAGCAAACAGGAUUAGAUACCCUGGUAGUCCACGCCGUAAACGAUGGAUGCUAGCCGUUGGCGGGUUUACCCGUCAGUGGCGCAGCUAACGCUUUAAGCAUCCCGCCUGGGGAGUA